rnacentral:lncRNA from 1 species
CAGGAUACAACAUUGUCAAGGAACUUCUAAAAGAUCAAUCUUCUAUGAGAUGUAACGUCAGCGAGAACCGAUGUAAAAGUACUGUAGAACUCUGGCCCAAAAAGGGAUUUUUACCUCAUCAUAUUCCUCAAGUCAAUACAGAUUUCCUUCUUUUAGUUGAUCUCAUUUUUGUACAAGACAUCACACAUUUACAUCAUGAUAUUGCUGCCAGUCACAUUUACAUCAUGAUAUUGCUGCCAGUCCAAUAACCUCCCCCUCAUCAACUCUGUUUUCCGCAACGUUGACUGUGUUGCGAGGCUUUG